rnacentral:rRNA from 1 species
AUUGAACGCUGGCGGCAGGCCUAACACAUGCAAGUCGAGCGAGUGGCGGACGGGUGAGUAAUGUCUGGGAAACUGCCUGAUGGAGGGGGAUAACUACUGGAAACGGUAGCUAAUACCGCAUACCAUCGGAUGUGCCCAGAUGGGAUUAGCUAGUAGGUGGGGUAAAGGCUCACCAAGGCGACGAUCCCUAGCUGGUCUGAGAGGAUGACAAUCCACAGUGGAAAUGAGACACGGUCCAGACUCCUACGGGAGGCAGCAGUGGGGAAUAUUGCACAAUGGGCGCAAGCCUGAUGCAGCCAUGCCGCGUGUAUGAAGAAGGCCUUCGGGUUGUAAAGUACUUUCAGCGGGGAGGCGUUACCCGCAGAAGAAGCACCGGCUAACUCCGUGCCAGCAGCCGCGGUAAUUC